rnacentral:rRNA from 1 species
CCUACGGGAGGCAGCAGUGAGGAAUAUUGGUCACUGGACGAGAGUCUGAACCAGCCAAGUAGCGUGAAGGAUGACUGCCCUAUGGGUUGUAAACUUCUUUUAUAAAGGAAUAAAACGAGGCACGUGUGCCUUUUUGCAUGUACUUUAUGAAUAAGGAUCGGCUAAUUCCGUGCCAGCAGCCGCGGUAAUACGGAGGGUCCGAGCGUUAUCCGGAUGUAUUGGGUUUAAAGGGAGCGUAGAUGGGUUGUUAAGUCAGAUGGGAAAGGUUGCGGCUCAACCGUAAAAUUGCAAUUGAUACUGGCAGUCUUGAGUACAGGUGAGGUAGGCGGAAUUCGUGGUGUAGCGGUGAAAUGCUUAGAUAUCACGAAGAACCCCGAUUGCGAAGGCAGCUUACUAAACUGUGACUGACAUUGAUGCUCGAAAGUGUGGGUAUCAAACAGGAUUAGAUACCCGGGUAGUC